CUUGGUCAUUUAGAGGAAGUAAAAGUCGUAACAAGGUUUCCGUAGGUGAACCUGCGGAAGGAUCAUUAUCGAAAAAAAAAAACAUGGAGGCUGUUGCUGGUUUCUUGGAACAUGUGCACACUUCUUGCUUUUUAAUUUUUCCAACUGUGCAUGUAUUGUAGACCUGGAGCCUUUUUUAUUGAUGAAAUAGAAUGAGGACUGCUCAUGGCUUUGCCUUGUAUUUCCAGGUCUAUGUUUUCACACAAACGAAUGUCGAGUAUUGGGGAAACUUGAAAUAAUAAUAAUACAACUUUCAGCAACGGAUCUCUUGGCUCUCGCAUCGAUGAAGAACGCAGCGAAAUGCGAUAAGUAAUGUGAAUUGCAGAAUUCAGUGAAUCAUCGAAUCUUUGAACGCAUCUUGCGCUCCUUGGUAUUCCGAGGAGCAUGCCUGUUUGAGUGUCAUUAAAAGCUAUCAACCACACUGGUUGUCUCUGGUGUGGAUUGGAAUUGAGGGAUUUGCGGGCUUUUUUAAUGCAAGUCAGCUCCCUUGAAAAGGAUUAGUGGUAUCUGAGCUACGUACUAUGGGCGUGAUAAUUGUUUUAUGCCUUGCUUGGUAUGCGGAGAGAUGCGCUAAGAAAUAUAGAAAGUGAUGUGAUGAAUUUGACCUCAAAUCAGGUAGGACUACCCGCUGAACUUAAGCAUAUCAAUAAGCGGAGGA
rnacentral:rRNA from 1 species